rnacentral:lncRNA from 1 species
CAGGCACAUGAGAGUCCCUAGCACUCCUCUUGGCAUCAGUGGCAGAGAAGACUGUGUAAACCAGGAUGAAGGUGCCAACAAUCUCAGCACCCAAGCCACCACCCUUGGUGUAACCAGGGGCCACAACAUUCGCUCCACCUCCAUUGUUCUCAUAGAGCCCCUUCUUAAACCCUUUCACCACGCCCGCACCGCAUAUGGCACCUAGACACUGCAUCACCAUGUAGAACAGAGCCCUGGUCAGGGACAGCUUCCUGGCCAGGAGCAGCCCAAAGGUCACAGCCGGGUUGAUGUGGCCACCUGAAAACCCAGAGCAUAACUCAGUCGAAGAUAUUGCCGUGAUCACAAGUGAGGAAGGAAACAAGCAGAGGAUGUGUUUGUUCACCUGAGAUCCCAGCGGUGCAGUAGACCAAGAUAAAGAUCAUGCCACCAAAGGCCCAGGCAAUCCCCUGGAUGCCCACGGUGGAGCACUUGGUGUUGGACUUGACCACACCCAUGACGGUGAGGAUGCUGAUGUAGAGGAAGAGGAAGGUGGCCAUGAAUUCUGCUAUGCCAGCCCUGUAGAAGGACCAUGAGCUGAGCUCCGCUGGCUCAAACAGUGGAG